UUAAGAAUAUUCCCCAAUGGCCGAAAGGCUGAGGGAGCGACGCCGCGUGCAGGAUGAAGGGCUUCGGCUCGUAAACUGCUUUUUUCAGGGAAGAAUUAAUGACGGUACCUGGAGAAUAAGAGGUUGCUAACUCUGUGCCAGCAGCAGCGGUAAUACAGAGACCUCAAACGUUGUCCGGAUUUAUUGGGCGUAAAGGGUCCGCAGGUGGCCAUGCGCGUCGGGAGUUAAAUGUCGGGGCUCAACUUCGACACCGCUCUCGAUACGGCAAGGCUAGAGGCCGGGAGAGGUACACGGAAUUGCCGGUGUAGUAGUAAUAUGCGUUAAUAUCGGCAAGAACACCAAAAGCGAAGGCAGUGUACUGGAACGGUUCUGACACUCAGGGACGAAAGCGUGGGGAGCAAAAGGG
rnacentral:rRNA from 1 species